CUUUGUCCUGGCUGCUCUGUACAACAUGGCUAUGAUUAAGAUUAAUGAUAGAAUGUACACCGGGGACUCUACUGUCUUAGACGGCCCAACUGCGGCGGGGCGAAAAAACUGACAUACUGUAUCGUGGUUUUCGUGCAAGCACCAGGCUCACUGCGAUCGUUGGAGGGGAUGUAGAUAGUUUUAAGUCGCCAGCGGUUUUCACCAUCUCAUUCUGUAGUUAUUAAGGGUACACGUAUGCUAACUUUCAGUGCCGUUGUAUCCUUUUCCGCAUACAGAGACCACUCCAUGUAAGACUAUUGGGCCGCUUUUAAAGGGAAUGAAGAAGACUGCUUCAGUUGGACAGGACUGAGGUCGGCUGCGGCGACCACACCAGCGCAGACGUCCCACUAUCAAAUGCGCUAGGAGUACGCCGGUCCAUGAGAUUACCAAAACCGGGUUUAGCCCACCCCCUCCCAGAGUUACGCCAAGCGCAGCGCUGCAUAUUAGCUAGUAACAAAAAUAGAGAGCCCUGUAGGUGCGCUGCAUUUGAAGGGAAUGAGAGGACCUGCUUCGACUGGACAGGAUUGAAGUCGGCUGUGAUCCUGGGAGACUUUCUAGUAUUUAUGUGAGUCACUCACAUUCCACGUUAUUUACGAAUUUGUCACAUAUCAGAGGCACUCUCCAGGAUGUCCCCCGCUGAACCCAAAUCCAACUGGGCUAGACCCUAUCUUCCCUGUGAGCCUGACUCGGAUCAUCUAUAUAGAAAAUGGAUGAACUUUAUUUUCUGUCUUACCCCGUUCAGGCAGACACGAGUCCCUUGACUGCAGAUGGUUUGACCCCCUGACUUUAAGCUGCAGUCCUGACUGCAGCAAAGACCCUGGCUGGGACUAGAAAAGAGGAGGCACAUGUGAGCCGCACAGAUGCUGUAUAAGACAGACAUGACGAGGGUUCAAGGAAGGCGACUGACCGGCGAUCCGAGACUGUGUCCGAGUUCGUGAGCAAAGGUCAACUGGACGUGCCGAGGAGGUAGGAACUGUCCGUAGU